rnacentral:rRNA from 1 species
UACGAAGGGGGCGAGCGUUGUUCGGAUUUACUGGGCGUAAAGGGCGCGUAGGCGGCCCGCUAAGUCGAACGUGAAAUCCCCGAGCUCAACUCGGGAACUGCGUCCGAUACUGGCGGGCUUGAAUCCGGGAGAGGGAUGCGGAAUUCCAGGUGUAGCGGUGAAAUGCGUAGAUAUCUGGAGGAACACCGGUGGCGAAGGCGGCAUCCUGGACCGGCAUUGACGCUGAGGCGCGGAAAGCUAGGGGAGCAAACGGGG